GCAUGAAUAAGCGCACCGCCAUCUUCAAGACUUUGCUAGCAAAGUACAAGAAGUUGGAGGUGGAGCACGAGGCUCUGAAGGCUGACCGUGAGAGCCAUGUGCUGCAAAAGCUAAUACGUGCUCUUGUUCACAGCCAGGGACAACGCCCAAGUGGCGGAGCUUCUGAAGCGUGUCACGAAGUCCAAGAUGAGAAGACCCGGCUGGCAGAACAACACCGGGAGGACGUGGCUCGGCUGCAGGCACAAAUCUUGGCGCAAGCGGAGGCACAUAAGACCGAGGUGGGUGAACUCACCUCGGCCCUCUCUACCCAGGCUGAUGAGAGGAUCCGCCUGGAGAAUGAGGUGAAGAAGUGCAAGGGUCUGGUCGCCGAGACUGAGAUCCGCGUCGUUGCCGCCGAGAAAGAGGAUGCCGAGAAGACCCGACGAUUUCAGGUUGUCCGGCAUGAGCUCAUCAAGAUCGAGACCAUGCUGACCAGUAAGUUGCCCUGACACAAAUUUCUUCAUCUGAUCACUUAUCCGAGUAAUAGUAGUAAAAUGCCGAGACUCAUUACUGUCUUUUGCAUUUUUUUUUCCACAAUCGGUCGAGACCGCCCAAGCCGCCGUGAUUAAGGCGCGUAGGAAGAGGGAUCCAGUCGGGAUCACCCCCUUUGAAUACGACUUAGAGGAUUAUCUGGUUAGCAUUGCUAGCCGGGUAAAGCCUCUAAAAUCGUUCGGGGUGAACAUGUUGAACGCCAGCAUUCGUGCCUUCCGGGCUCUGUGGCCGGGAGAGGAGGCUCCGACCGGCAUCCCCGAAUUAGCAACGCGCCUGCUGGAGGUGGGGGAUCGCCUCAACAAGUGGCGGGAAUCGGCCGCACGCGUCGGCGCCAACAAGGACUUGUCGUUUGUACUCUCUUGGUACGACGGCAUCAACCUCAACGUGCUGCAGUCAAUGCGUGCCGAGAUGACCGAUGGCGAUGAAGAGGAGGCAAUGGACGAGGAGAUUGUCAUUGAGUCGGCCUCCACUGCAUUGGAUGCACCGAGUUCCGGCGCCAACAAUCCCUCUAUCUCUUCUUAGCUAUGCCGGAAAAAGAACUUUAGAAUUAUCAGAUCCCCGGGAUGCCGGGUGCACAUGUAACAGAGAUAAUAUACUUUUGUUUGUAAAACAUCGUGUUUUUAAUUUAUAUACAAGUCUUUUGCUUAUCAAA